rfam:Archaeon GW2011_AR13 QT05_C0011, whole genome shotgun sequence.
GUUCCAGUUGAUCCUGCUGGCGGCUGCGGCUCUCUGGUUUGCACUUAGACAUGCAAGUUUUUUCAUUAGUUCUUUUAGAAUUUGUGAAGGGCAAACUGCUCAGUAACACGUAACUAACCUACCCUUAGGUUAAGGAUAUCCUCGGGAAACUGAGGGUAAUACUUAAUAAGAGAUAUACCCUGGAAAGAUUUAUCUCUGAAAUUCGAGCCCAAGGAUGGGGUUGCGGUGGAUUAGGUUGUUGGCGGGGUAAUAGCCCACCAAGCCUGUGAUCCAUAAGGGCUCUUAGCGGAGAGGCCCUGAGAGGGAAUCUGAGACACUAUUCCCAGCCCCACGGGGUGCAGCAGUUAGGAAUAUUCUGCAAUGCGCGCAAGCGUGACAGAUUGAACCAGAGUGUUUUUCGUAUAGAAAAGCUUUUAUGAAAUGUAAAAAGUUUCAGGAAUAAGGACUGGGUAAGACUAGUGCCAGCCGCCGCGGUAAUACUAGCGGUCCAAGUCGCAGCCAUUUUUAUUGGGUCUAAAACAUCCGUAGCUUGCUUAGUAAGUUUCUUGUGAAAUUUUAUGUCUUAAACAUGGAGCGUGCAGGAAGUACUGUUAAGCUAGAGACUGGAAGACGUGAGAAGUACGUUUAAAGUAGCGGUAAAAUGUGUUAAUCUUAGACGGACUCACAAUAGCGAAGGCAUCUCACGAGGACAGUUCUGACAGUAAGGGAUGAAGGCUAGGGGCGCAAAACGGAUUAGAUACCCGUGUAGUCCUAGCAGUAAACACUGCACACUAAACAUUAGUGCCUCUUCGAGAGGCAUUAGUGCUGUAGGGAAGCCGUAGAGUGUGCUACCUGGGAAGUAUAGUCGCAAGGCCGACGCUGAGAGGAGUUGCAUGGCCGACGUCAGCCUGUGCCGUGAGGUGACCUGUUAAAUCAGGUAACAGGCAAGACCCACAUGUAUAUUUACUACGUGUACUAUAUACAGAUUGCCUUGGUAACGAGGAUGAAAGUGUGGGCUACGUUAGGUGAGUACAGCCCUAAUCCCCUGGGCAACACGCGCGCGUCAAUGGUGAAUACAACGGGACGCGACUCCGAAAGGAGAAGCUAAUCUCUUAAAGUUCAUCUCAGUUCAGAUCGAGGUUUGUAACUCAGCCUCGUGACGCUGGAAUCUGUAGUAAUCGUUUGUUAUCAACGAACGGUGAAUAUGUCACUGUCUCUUGCACACACUGCCCGUCAAACCAACCAAGUUUAGUUAUGGUGAAACAAUUCGUUGGAGAACCUUGACUAGACAAGGUAGGUUAAGUCGUCACAAGGUAUCUGUAGGGGAACCUGCAGAUGGAUUACCUCCU